rnacentral:snRNA from 1 species
AUCACUUUUCAGCCUUUUGGCUAAGAUCAAGUGUAGUAUCUUUUCUUAUCAGUUUAGUAUCUGAUGCAUUCUUUAUCUGAGGAUAAUAUAUUAAAUAGAUUUUUGGAACAGGGAGAUGGAAUGGGAGCUUGCUCCAUCCACUCCUCAAAUUGACCUGGUAUUGUAGUACCUCCGAGAACAGCGUACCCCCU